ACGUGUGUGUGCCAGGACCACACCCCAGGCCUUCAGGCAGAGGAGUGGCCCUGACUGAUGCCCUUGCACUGGAGCCCCACAACCCACACGGCACCCUGGGCACCUCUGGGGAGGAUGAGGGUGGUCCCAGAGUGGCUCCAGGGUGUCUGAGUCAGCCCCAGGCUAACAGUAAUGGGACCACCCCCCCUUGUGCCCGGCCCCACCACCCCACACAGGCCUGUAAGUACGGAACACAACUGGAGUGUCACUUCCCUGGAGAGCCCAGGGCUGCAGGUCUCACACUGUGUUCCACAGGGCAUCCUGACCACCAAACCCUCCAGCCAAGGCCUCAGGAGCAGUAGGUGAUGCCCUGGGGAAGUGAGUAAGGGAGCAGAAAGGAGGUUUGGGCUCCAGGGUGUCCUCUGAGAGGAGGGUUCAGGGGUGGAGACCCCCAGCAGGGCUUGGAACACCCCUGAUUCUUGCAAGGGACAAGUUCCUAAUCCAAAAAUCACGAAGCCUGGGGAUUUUGACACCUUGUAGCCAGCAUCAAACCCCGCCCUGUGGAUGGGGCAGUAGAUCUGAGGGUGCUUUCCAGCACCCCGGUAUGAACCUCCUGCCCACUACUGCCUUCCAGUGCCUAAAGGGGCUUCAGGACAAAUGGAGAGGGACUUUGGACAAGGGCCUGGAGUGACAGGA